rnacentral:tRNA from 1 species
GCGGAGGUUAUGGCUCAGUGGUAGAGCGCUUGCCUAGCAUGUGUGAAGCACUGGGUUUGAUUCUCAGCACCGCA